rnacentral:rRNA from 1 species
AUUGAACGCUGGCGGCAGGCUUAACACAUGCAAGUCGAGCGGAGCGGCGGAGGGGUAAGUAUAGCCUAGGAAUCGGACUGGUCGUGGAGGAUAACGACAGGAAACGGGGGCUAAUACCGCAUACUAUCAGAUGAGCCUAGGCCGGAUUAGCAAGUUGGUGGGGUAAUGGCCUACGAAGGCGACGACACGUAACUGGGCUGAGAGGAUGAUCAGUCACACUGCAACUGAUACACGGUCCAGACUCCUAAGGGAGGCAGCAGUGGGGAAUAUUGGACAAUGGGCGAAAGCCUGAUCCAGCCAUGCAGCGUGUGUGAAGAAGGUCUUCGGAUUGCAAAGCACAUUAAGUUGGGAGGCGUUACCAACAGAAUAAGCACCGGCUAACUUCGUGCCAGCGGCCGCGGUAAUAC